UACAGAGGCCUCGAGCGUUAAUCGGAAUCGCUGGGCUUAAAGGGUGUAGGCGGCGCUGCACGUGCCUUGUGAAAUCCCAUCGCUUAACGAUGGAACUGCUCGGUAGACUGCAGUGCUUGAGGUUGGUAGGGGCUGCCGGAACUCUAGGUGGAGCGGUGAAAUGCGUAGAUAUCUAGAGGAACGCCCAAGGCGAAGGCAGGCAGCUGGGCCAAUUCUGACGCUGAGGCACGAAAGCGUGGGGAGCAAACGGG
rnacentral:rRNA from 1 species